GUAUUAAAAUUAAUAAAUCGCGCUAGCUAUAUUUCAAGUAAUAAAACAAUCUGUAUUAGUCAAUAGAUUUUUAAUCGAAUCUAUCUCACUUUUCGGUCGAUAAAAACUGACAAAACAGAUGCCACUGCUCCGGCAUUAUUUUAAUUAUUAUAAUCAUUUAAUUAUUGCAAUUUUUUCUUAAGAUGAUACAUGGAGGGGACAGAAUAUAUGGUUAAGCAUAACAGAUUUUAUAUGUAAAUCUCAUAUGUAUUUCGUAGUAAAUACUGUAAGAACGUAACCGAAAUACUUUUAAUAAAACUAUUAUUAAAUGUCCAGGAUGGAGUAUCUAUUUGAUUAUCAAAAGGUAGCCCAGAGGAGGAUGCAGCGCUCGAGGAUAUCACUGAAUAACACUUAAGCUGUAAGACAACGUAUGUUUAUUCCGAAAAGUAUACACUCUAUACGACUCUCGCAAACUUAUCUCGCUCGCUUCUCGAAGGAGAGUGCCGUCCGCUCGCGCUCUCCUCAUUCCUUUCUGUCGGAGCACGGGGUGCGCCUGUGCACGCGCAUGCGCCACCCGGUAUAUGGUGGCCGCAGCAACCGGUAGGAAUAUAUUUCUUACAGCUCGGCCUUCCUGACCUUGCCACCGUCUCGGUGGUAAGUUAGGAGUGCUGUUUUACCGGCACCGUAUUUUACAAUAGUUUACUUCGUUAUGCAAUAUUGCACAAAGUUACGCGCGCUCGAUCGCCAUUAUGGGCUUCCGGGGGCUAGUUGUUUUGGUUUACACAUCAUUUGGGCGAGGUUGUUGGCUUCUCUUCGUUAUUUAGGGUUUGUAUUGUACAGUCAGUAUGCUGUCUUUGUCUUACUUUUAUAACUUACGUUAUAAUACGUUCACACUAAUUUACAAAAUAAGAUUCUUAGGGUCUAAGGUCUGACGAAAAGUUUAACAGCAUUAUUGCUUUUGAUUAUUUUCAGGCCCCUUUAUUCGUAUCCACGGCUUGAUCUUGUCACUUGAGAGGAUGGUGUCCAUCGGUCUGGUUGUCAAACUGAAGCCUGGGAUGUCACGGAUGACAUAUCGAUUAUUUCCAAGGCUCUUGGCGACCAGAUCCGAGUCUACAUCUGCUAAGGCUUGCGUGAACCGUGCGAAAGGAAAAUCAACGUGGCUACGCUGAUCGUAGCCAAGCAAGAGUUUUGAGGGGCUCGUCUUGAUGCUUGAAUGUAUACUCUGCAAAUUCAUGUGAUGUGUAGGCCGUGCCUCUGUCUGUCACUAAUUCCAUCGGUUUUCCAAAUAAGUUAAGUAAUUUUUCUAUAUGAUCUAUAGCCUCUUUCGACCCUGUAGACCUUGUCGCAAAUAACCACGUGAAUCUAGUAAAAGCGUCCACUAUAACUAAUAUGUGUUUGUUAUUUGUAGAUGUAGCUGGUAGCGGACCGAGAUGGUCAGCGUCUUUGGUGGCCUGGCUGAAAUAUGCUACCGGUGCCCACGACCGAUUGGACUGCUUUUGGAGCAAGAUCGCGCCGAACCCGGUGUGGCAUGCAUCGGUGUGCAGUUGCGUUUCUGCGGCUGGGUUAUACAGCCGCAAUACGGGCGCCGAAGGACGACCCUGGCGCAAUAAGACGAGACGCUGGGCUGGAUUAUACCGCGUCGGAGUAGGUCAUCCACGAUCCGGCGCAUCUCAAGGCGUUCGCUGUGGGCGAAUCUCCGCGGGGCAUACGCGUAGACGGAUUCGUCCCUGAGCCGGACCUGUACUGUGUACCCGUCAUCUACCGGCUGUCCACGCAAACGAGAGGAUCCUCCACGACGAGCCGGUGAUGUCGGUCCCUGACGGCUGCCACUACUUCCGCCUGGAGACCUUCCUCGGAGACCCCGGCUGCCACCGCCGAAUUCCUGCAGGUGGAGUCCUUCGGCUUGGCUGUCGAGCUGCCCGCCGCUUGCUUCUUGUCCGGGUCUCCCAUGCCCUGGGUGAUCCGGCGCAUAUGCUCCAGGAAGACGUCCAUCGUCUCUGCUGACACCGAGAGCGCAAUGCCUCUUAGCGACGGCUGCGUGAUGCCGCUUACCAGCAGAUGUAUCCGGUCCGUCUCUGCUAGGUCUGCCCGAUGCAUGAUUGCCAACUUGUGUAUGGCAUAUUCGUCGAAGGUCUCCCGGCCCGACUGCCACUUCCGGGCUUCGAUGCGCUGCAUCACCUUGAAGAAGGGGACCUUCUGAUCGAACAUCUUGACCAUUUCAUCGCGGAGGCCAAUCCACGAUUCGACCGCCGCUCCGCUCUGGACGUCGAACCACCGGCGAGCCGAUCCGGACAGCUUACUUGAUGCUGCCAGCAGCGCGACUCCGUCGCUAGCUCCGUGGACCAGGGUCACCUUCUCGACCCUCCUUAUCCACGUACGGACAUUGUCCUCCUCCUUACCAGCGAACUCUGGUAUUUGGGAGGCCAAUGCCUGGAUCGCCGAGCCGGACGACCACGAGGAUCGUCCCUCUGAAAUCGGAGGAGAUUCCGCCGGCGAGCGCAAUGGUUCACGCUCCGGCGGUCCUCGUAUUGGGGCGCUGUUCCUCUCCGGUGCUCCAGAGUUGCUUCGCCCCGAGAAUACUUCUAGGAGUUGAGCGAAGCUUCUUUGCUGCUCCUCGAAGAAGCGCUUCUGGUCCUCCCGCUCUUCAUCCUGUCGUCUGAUUACUCUUUGGAGGGCGGCGACCACCUGUUGAAGGGGGUCCAUUCGUUCCGACGGGCCAGCCUCGCUCGCUGGAGCCGGUCCUCCUGCUGGGCCCGCUUCUUGUAACGGAACCACCCUAUUCCCGGAGCUUACCUCCAUCGCUGCAAGCCCUAUUAGGUCUUCCACUGGAGCGUGGCUCUGGAAAUGGCCUAUCAAAGUUUCGAUAAGCUCGAACUUCCUUCCUGUUGUAGGCAGCCUGUACUUUGCCGUCUCCUGCCUCAACUGCUCCCCUGUGAGCUUUUCCAAUGCCGCGCGAUCCAUCGCUGCCUCGAGUGAUCCAGAUCCCACUUCUGAGAUGUAAGAACGUAACCGAAAUACUUUCAAUAAAACUAUUAUUAAAUGUCCAGGAUGGAGUAUCUAUUUGAUUAUCAAAAGGUAGCCCAGAGGAGGAUGCAGCGCUCGAGGAUAUCACUGAAUAACACUUAAGCUGUAAGACAACGUAUGUUUAUUCCGAAAAGUAUACACUCUAUACGACUCUCGCAAACUUAUCUCGCUCGCUUCUCGAAGGAGAGUGCCGUCCGCUCGCGCUCUCCUCAUUCCUUUCUGUCGGAGCACGGGGUGCGCCUGUGCACGCGCAUGCGCCACCCGGU